AUGUGUGCACGUCACAGAGACCAGGACUUCUGCUUUGAGGAAGAAACCACAGUAAUCACCACGCUGCAUCAGAAUCACGGGAUUCAAUACCAGGUCACGAGUUCCCUGUCCCAGCCCGUGCUGACUCAGCCGCCCUCCCUGUCUGUGUCUCUGGACACAACGGCCAGACUCACCUGCACCCUGAGCACUGGCUACAGCGUUGGCAGUUAUGGUAUAGCUUGGCUCCAGCAGGUGCCAGGGAGGCCUCCCAGGUAUCUGCUAGCCUACCACACAGAUGAUAUUAAACACCAGGGCUCCAGGGUGCCCAGCCGCUUCUCUGGAUCCAGUGAUAACUCGGCCAAUGCAGGCGUCCUGAGCAUCUCUGGGCUGCAGCCCGAGGACGAGGCCGACUAUUACUUCUCUUGA